CUUCUUCCAAAUUGCGAUUAUCCAGUCCAUUUAAGUCAGUGUCGAGUUGCAACUUCAUAUCAGUUAUCCUAUCUGGCUCAGUUGUCAUAAACUCUUCAGUUCUCUUUGACAGGGUUUCAAAAUUCCCAAGCAUUUCACUACUGAUAAGAUAAGACUCAGGGAAGAAACACCUACCUACUUCAUCUAUCCAGGCAAUAGGUUUCUGUAAACCAUUUAUUACAUCUAUUUGAACCAUAUGUAGAAUAUCAAGAAUUAUAUGAAAGUCACAAACUUUCACCUCAAUAACAGUCUUUUUCGCCCGAAAAUCUUCUUUAACUAUAGGAAUAAUAUCUUGAGGGAAGUCGGUCCAUUCACCGUUCUGAUAAAACAGUACACGUAGCGGCAGUCUGCUUCUCUUAAAGUUCAGGUAGUUCUUGUGUUCAGAUAUCCUGAGAUGUGAUUGACUAUUAGACUCGCAGUGAACGAUCCUUUUCCUCUUCUCAAGCUUUCUAUCACAGUUGGAUUGAAUUGAUAUUUUCUCACUGCUGGCUCUAAGCAGAUGUGCCAAA
rnacentral:misc_RNA from 1 species